UCUACGGCCAUACCACCCUGAACGUGCCCGAUCUCGUCUGAUCUCGGAAGCUAAGCAGGGUCGGGCCUGGUUAGUACUUGGAUGGGGGAGAAAGAGAAUAUGGUUGCAAGGA
rnacentral:rRNA from 1 species